rnacentral:rRNA from 1 species
GACGAACGCUGGCGGCGUGCUUAACACAUGCAAGUCGAACGGAAAGGCCCUGCUUUUGUGGGGUGCUCGAGUGGCGAACGGGUGAGUAACACGUGAGUAACCUGCCCUUGACUUUGGGAUAACUUCAGGAAACUGGGGCUAAUACCGGAUAGGAGCUCCUGCUGCAUGGUGGGGGUUGGAAAGUUUCGGCGGUUGGGGAUGGACUCGCGGCUUAUCAGCUUGUUGGUGGGGUAGUGGCUUACCAAGGCUUUGACGGGUAGCCGGCCUGAGAGGGUGACCGGCCACAUUGGGACUGAGAUACGGCCCAGACUCCUACGGGAGGCAGCAGUGGGGAAUAUUGCACAAUGGGCGGAAGCCUGAUGCAGCAACGCCGCGGGCGGGAUGACGGCCUUCGGGUUGUAAGCCGCUUUCGCCUGUGACGAAGCGUGAGUGACGGUAAUGGGUAAAGAAGCACCGGCUAACUACGUG